UUUCUACUCCCUCCGUCUGAAAAUACUUGUCAUCAAAAUGGAUAAAAAGAGAUGUAUCUAAAACAAAAGUACGUCUAGAUACAUUUCCUUUUAUCCAUUUUGAUGACAAGUAUUUCCGGACGGAGGGAGUAUUUG
rnacentral:pre_miRNA from 1 species